GUGGGGAAUAUUGGACAAUGGGGGGAACCCUGAUCCAGCCAUGCCGCGUGUGUGAAGAAGGCCUUUUGGUUGUAAAGCACUUUAAGUGGGGAGGAGGCUUACCUGGUUAAUACCUGGGCUAAGUGGACGUUACCCACAGAAUAAGCACCGGCUAACUCUGUGCCAGCAGCCGCGGUAAUACAGAGGGGGCGAGCGUUAAUCUGAUUUACUGGGCGUAAAGCGCGCGUAGGUGGCCAAUUAAGUCAAAUGUGAAAUCCCCGAGCUUAACUUGGGAAUUGCAUUCGAUACUGGUUGGCUAGAGUAUGGGAGAGGAUGGUAGAAUUCCAGGUGUAGCGGUGAAAUGCGUAGAGAUCUGGAGGAAUACCGAUGGCGAAGGCAGCCAUCUGGCCUAAUACUGACACUGAGGUGCGAAAGCAUGGGGAGCAAACAGGAUUAGAAACCCGUGUAGUCC
rnacentral:rRNA from 1 species